rnacentral:rRNA from 1 species
UACGGGGGGAGCAAGCGUUGUUCGGAUUUACUGGGCGUAAAGGGCGCGUAGGCGGUCAGCACAAGUCGAUUGUGAAAUCUCCGGGCUUAACCCGGAAAGGUCAACCGAUACUGCGGGGCUAGAGUGCGGAAGGGGCAACUGGAAUUCUUGGUGUAGCGGUGAAAUGCGUAGAUAUCAAGAGGAACACCUGCGGCGAAGGCGGGUUGCUGGGCCGACACUGACGCUGAUGCGCGAAAGCUAGGGGAGCGAACGGG